rnacentral:lncRNA from 1 species
CAAGAAGCAAACCACAGUUUCAAGGUCUUCCUCGCUGAAGCUGAAUAUAGAGUACUUGGACAUCUGGUAUGUGAAAUUCAGUGGUUAUCAGGUUUGUUGACUGAAAUUGGAGUCUAAGUUCCCACUCCUAUACCAAUUCAUUGUGAUAAUAAAUCAGAAAUACACAUAGCUGAGAAUCUAGUCUUUCACGAAAGGUCAAAACACAUUAAGAUUGAUUGUCAUGUGAUGAGGAACGCAUCAAGACAAGUAUGAUCAAGCUUCAUCAUGUUCACACUGAAUAUAUAUUCGCAUUAUGGCAGGGUAUUAAUUCAGAAGAAGAAAUCUGGAAAUGGAGAUUGCUCAGCAUCUGUUGAGAAUGAAGAGGAGCUGAGUGACCAAAGAGCAAUUGGAUGAAAGAUGAAGAAUCAAAGGAUACAAAGAGUGAAAAUGUUUUAUUAUUAUUGUGUCAUUUCAGUUAUGUAAUAAUUAGUUACCGUUUACAGAUAAAACGGUAACACCGUAAAAUUUGAACUCCACCAUUUAAAUAAAGAGCUGAAGGGCUGGCUGCCUCUUCACGCAUUGUUUUGUGAUCAUUCUCUCAAAUAUGAAAUUGGGAGCGGGCUUUCAUAUACAUGACAACGAAUAAUUUAGGCUGCGAGAUGUUCUAUUCGAAAUGGAUGAACGGCUUCUGCUAUACAAAACUCUGGUUGAGAAUGAUUCGGCGGUUGCCGCCCUCCUCAACGGUCGUCGGCAAAACAAUAGUAAUAAAUUUGAAAUAUUAUAUUAUUUUCUUUUUUAAUUAUGACGUCAAAAACAACAAUCGACCAAAACCAACCAAUAAAUUAAAGUUCCUAUCAAUAUUAGAAAGAAAUAAGAAAUACUAAUUAUAUUGUAUGAUUUGUUUGUUUGGUGCCUCUUAUUUAAUUGGGCAAACCAAAGCUUGGGAUUUUGUUCUUAUUUUGAUCUCGCGUAUCUGUAAACCAAUAUCAUAUUUGGAGUUUCCAGGUUGGAUUCCAAUACCUACUUUGGACCUUGGAGAUAACUUGAGAGGGUGCUCAAGCUCAACAUAUUGCUAUUUGCUAGUAUAUAUGGAUUUUGACCACGUUACGAAUUAAGAAGAUGGACUUUUCAAUUUGAAACUUUUAAUUAGUAACAAUGUCAUAAUUAAUUAUGAUAUAAAAAAUAUGAUAGUAUUAAAAUUUAAAAAUAAUAUAUUAAGUAAUUUAUAGUAAGUAUUAAAUUUUUAGUAAUUAAGUAGGAUAAAAAGUUGAGACGUACUUGGUGUUAAAUGAGUUGCAAGAGUUAUAAUAAGAUCAUAAAGCAAUACCUAAAAUAAAAAAAAAGAAUAUAUCAGUAAAAUACGAAAGAAAAGAAAAUAGAAUAACAAUAUAAGAAAUAGCUAGAGGGCUCCUCCUCCUGCGUCGUCUAUAAAAGCUAAAACCGACUCCCUGAAUUGAUCUGAAAACCUUUGCCAUUUCUCAAGGGGACCAUCCAUCCCAAUAUCUCCAUGCUUCUUCCUUCUCUACUCUAUUUUCCCUUCCUCCUUUCAUUUCUCUUCCAAACAUUAUAUUAAUUUUCAUCUCUGAUAAUUUUCCCCCCUUAAACAUGAGGAACCAACAAGCAAACAUGAACAACAAUGUCAUGAUGGCUACUCCUCGCACAAGUUUCUCCAUGAACAACCACCAGGAUCUCAUCAACCUCAUCCAUGCUAACAAUAAUCUCAUCGGAUUCACUCCUCCACCGCCUCCCUUCUACUCAUCAUACCCUCCGCCAGCUGCGGCACCGCCUCUCCUUCCUUUCCCCGUCCCUAGNNNNNNNN